GAAAAAUGAAGCAAGGUAGAUAAAGGACGAAGAAGAAUUAAAGUAACUGGCAUGAGGGUAUUCCUUGCGCCAGAUAUAACUUAGACAUAAGCUAUCAAGCUAAUGACAUAAAACAAGCGCUUGAUGGAAGGAAACCCAUCAGUGAGAAUUUAUUUUUACGUUAUAGUGAAUUUUAAAAUUUUAACAAUGUUAUUUCUUGUGUUAUGACAUGGAAGGGAAAAUAUGGAAAGAAGAAAAAAAAUAAAGAAGGAAAGAGAAAAA
rnacentral:lncRNA from 1 species